AUCAAGCUUUGAGCUGUGAAAUACCCUGCCUCAUGCAUAUGCAAAUAACCUGAGGUCUUCUGAGAUAAAUAUAGAUAUAUUGGUGCCCUGAGAGCAUCACAUAACAACCACAUUCCUCCUCUGAAGAAGCCUCUGGGAGCACAGCUCAUCACCAUGGACUGGACCUGGAGGUUCCUCUUUGUGGUGGCAGCAGCUACAGGUGUCCAGUCCCAGGUCCAGCUGGUGCAGUCCGGGGCUGAGGUGAAGAAGCCUGGGUCCUCAGUGAAGGUCUCCUGCAAGGUUUCUGGAGGCACCUUCAGCAGCUAUGCUAUCAGCUGGGUGCGACAGGCCCCUGGACAAGGGCUUGAGUGGAUGGGAGUGAUCAUCCCUAUCCUUGGUACAGCAAACUACGCACAGAAGUUCCAGGGCAGAGUCACGAUUACCGCGGACGAAUCCACGAGCACAGCCUACAUGGAGCUGAGCAGCCUGAGAUCUGAGGACACGGCCGUGUAUUACUGUGCGACAGACACAGUGUGAAAACCCACAUCCUGAGAGUGUCAGAAACCCUGAGGGAGAAGGCAGCUGUGCCGGGCUGAGGAGAUGACAGGGGUUAUUAGGUUUAAGGCUGUUUACAAAAUGGGUUAUAUAUUUGAGAAAAAAAGAACAGUAGAAACAAGUACAUACUCUAAUUUUAAGAUAAAUAUUCCAUUCAAGAGUCGUAAUAUAAGCCAAAUUCACAGAGUGGAAAAGGCCACACUCAAUAAAGUUGAUACAAACAUUCCAUGAAGGUGCUACUGUGAACAAGUUUUCAAACUGGAUGAAUACAUGAUAUGGAGCAAAGUUAUUUGAUCAUGUGGUGAGACUAAGAAUGAUUCUUAAAAAGUGGCAAAAGUUUCCUUCAAAUGUUUCUGUCACUCCUUAUCAUAAAGUUUAUUUUACAGCAGUUUUAGGAUUACAAAGAAAUUGCACAGGCGGCAUGAGAAUUCCCAUGACUCCCUGCCCUACACAGGCACAGCCUCCUCCACUACGACCAUCCUGCACCGCAGUCACAAAUCAGUUACAAUGGAGGAAUCUCCAAGGAUGCUUGGCUCUUUCUUUUUCUGGUGAUCUCCUAAUAUAACAAGCCUAAAGUAUCUCAAGAUUCCACGGUUUUUUCAGUGUUUUCUAGAACUGAUAUUAGUCAGAGGGAAAGUGGGUAAGGCUAUUACUAUUUGAACUCUUUCUUCCAAAAUCCACAAAAUAUAUAUUAAUUUAGAGCUUAUCUUACUUCUGGUUUACAAUGCUCCUUCCCAGACAGUAAGAUUUUUUUAAGCUUUUAGAGGCCAGUUCAUGUCUCUAAAAGACCAGAAAGUUCUGGGGAAUCCCAUAAUGAACAUCCUUUCAUGAGAAUUGGAGACCCUGGCAAUGAGAGACUCCAUGUAUAAUGCCCUAGAGUUGGAUUAGAUGCUCUGUAAGCUCUUGGGUGGUGAGUCUGAGUAAGGGGGUUUUUGCAGCAAAUGCAAACACAUUCAUGGGACCCAGGUAGGAACAAAAGCUUCCCUCUACAAAGGGAGUGUGCACCUGAAGCAGCCCUCACAGAGGUGGGCACUGCUCACCCUUGAUGAGUGCACAUUAGCCAGAGGCAUGAUCAUGAUUGGUCUUGCAGACAAAGAGCACCACUGAGGUCAUAGGUUAUGAAAAUGUUUGUCAUCCUCCAGCUGAGCAAGUCCAUCUGCUUGUUUGUGGGUGUCAACUCCAUGGAGGGUGCACUUUGGGAGAUGACAAGAUGCACCCAAACCUCCUCUCACUAAUUAUCCACUACCACACACUCAAGACCAACCUGUGCUCCGGAAAGGAAUACGUGCCUGUGGAAAUAGACAGAGCUUAAGGGUUUUAUUACCUGGUAAAUAUACUGCCCAAAACCACACGUUUCAGGAAGAUUAGCUCAGAAAUGUUCACCAAUUGACUGAAGGGCAGUGGCGGGUGAGGUGAUGGGACAGCCUCAGGGCUGCACAUGAGGAGGGCUCCCUCCCCCAUGCAGGCUUUUCUCUGGGAGCUUAACCAGGAACUCAAGGGGGAUCAGGGAGAAUUCUGAGAACACCCUACUGUGGAGCUGCCUAGAGAGGAAGAAUAAAUGAUGAAAAAUAAAA